UAGGGAAUAUUGGUGAAUGGGCGAAAGCCUGACCCAGCAACGCCGCGUGUGCGAAGAAGGCCUUCGGGUCGUAAAGCACUUUUUUCCGAGAAGAGGAAGGACGAUACUGGCAGAAUAAGCCUCGGCUAUCUCCGUGCCAACAGCCGCGGUAAAACACAUGCGACGAGCGUUCUCCGGAUGUACUUGGCGUAAAGCGCGUGCAGGCGGACGGGGAAGUGGGGUGUGAAAGCGCCUGGCUAAACUGGGGGAGGUCUCUCAAGACUGCCGGUCUGGAGCAUGGUAGAGGAAGGCGGAAUUCCGGGUGUAGUGGUGAAAUGCGUAGAUAUCCGGAGGAACACCAGUGGCGAAAGCGGCCUUCUAGACCAUGACUGACGCUCAGACGCGAAAGCUAGGGUAGCAAAC
rnacentral:rRNA from 1 species